rnacentral:rRNA from 1 species
CCUACGGGAGGCAGCAGUGGGGAAUAUUGCACAAUGGGGGAAACCCUGAUGCAGCGACGCCGCGUGAGUGAAGAAGUAAUUCGUUAUGUAAAGCUCUAUCAGCAGGGAAGAAAAUGACGGUACCUGAGUAAGAAGCCCUGGCUAACUACGUGCCAGCAGCCGCGGUAAUACGUAGGGGGCAAGCGUUAUCCGGAUUUACUGGGUGGAAAGGGAGCGUAGACGGCAGUGCAAGUCUGGAGUGAAAGGCGGGGGCUCAACCCCCGGACUGCUCUGGAAACUGUACGGCUGGAGUGCAGGAGAGGUGAGUGGAAUUCCUAGUGUAGCGGUGAAAUGCGUAGAUAUUAGGAGGAACACCAGUGGCGAAGGCGGCUUACUGGACUGUAACUGACGUUGAGGCUCGAAAGCGUGGGGAGCAAACAGGAUUAGAUACCCCUGUAGUC